CGAAGCUGUGUGAAGAUGGAGGUGUGUUGUUUGUCCAUUGAUUUGGCCAUUCCAAAAUCAGAGAGUUUGGGUGUGAAGUUUUCGUCUAAAAGGAUGUUCUCUGGCUUUAUGUCGCAGUGGAUUAUCUUUGAUUCGCAUUCUUGAUGAAGGAUUUCUAAGAGCCCUACUCAUGGAGUUGAUACAAUUAGCUAAAUGUUUAUAAUUUUUUUUUGUCAAACACCCCUACAUUAUGUAUUAGACUAGUGGAAAUAGUUGAGUUGUUAAGGAAGUAUUCUUUAGAAAGUUGGAAUAUAAUAACGAUUACUAAUAA